CCCUUAGAGAAGAGUAAGCUCCAACUCACCUGCGAGUGAGUACCUAUAUGGGCUGCAGCCUAAGAAGAAACAGCUGGUCCUCAGAAGGCAGACAUAGGAGAGGCUGAGAAAGCUUUGCCAGAAAUCAGGAGAGAAAUUACUUAGGAAAGAAGUAAGGUUGUUCCAAAAACGUUUGGAUAAGGGAUGAAACUAAGGAGUUCUGGACAUGACUGAAGAAAGCUCAGGACAUUACAGUUUUCCAGACAGCAUAAAUCUAUUGAUGACUGAAAUGGAAGUGUGAUUGAUGCAGCACUGGCAUUUGUGAUAUAGGCAUUCCAAAACUUUUUCACUGGAUCUGUUUAAACAUCCUGCUAUGUUUAUUAAGGAUGGAUGCCCUGCACUGCAUUGAAAUAUGGGUUUCUCUCUGCUUCUCACACAUUGAAAGAAACUUAUAAUUAAGGUCUGUCUGGAACAGUGCAUGGAUUCAGUAGGAAUUAGAGAAUUCUGCAGAUAUUGGGUGGUGUAUCUACUCAGCGAAGAGCUAAACUGAUUGAAUCAGCCAGGGCAGACAAUGGGCUCCUGCUUGCACUGGUAUACAACUGGACUAGAAUGACUGACUUCAGCAGACAUACUGCAGCAUAUCGGAGAGUUGAAUUUGGCCUGUUACUGAAAGACUUUAAUGGAGUCUAAGCUACAGAAGAG